rnacentral:rRNA from 1 species
ACUCAAAUGAAUAGACGGGGGCCCGCACAAGCGGUGGAGCAUGUGGUUCAAUUCGAAGCAACGCGCAGAACCUUACCAACCUUUGACAUGUCCCGUAUGGGUACCAGAGAUGGAACCCUUCAGUUCGGCUGGCGGGAACACAGGUGCUGCAUGGCUGUCGUCAGCUCGUGUCGUGAGAUGUUGGGUUAAGUCCCGCAACGAGCGCAACCCUCGCCCUUAGUUGCCAUCAUUCAGUUGGGCACUCUAAGGGGACUGCCGGUGAUAAGCCGCGAGGAAGGUGGGGAUGACGUCAAGUCCUCAUGGCCCUUACAGGUUGGGCUACACACGUGCUACAAUGGCGGUGACAGUGGGACGCAAUGGGGCAACCCUGCGCAAAUCUCAAAAAGCCGUCUCAGUUCGGAUUGCUCUCUGCAACUCGAGAGCAUGAAGUUGGAAUCGCUAGUAAUCGCAGAUCAGCACGCUGCGGUGAAUACGUUCCCGGGCCUUGCACACACCGCCCGU